GAAGAUCCUUCUCAACAAGAAAUAGUAUGUGGAGUAAUCAUUUCACCCACUACCGCUAGUGGUCAUCACCUAAUCCAACAAUAAUACCAAGAACCUGAAAUACAUGCAACACAUAGUACAAAAAAAACAAAAACAAAACAAAUGCAAAACAGUAGCAACUGGGAAAUAAUAAAAAAUUAAAAAUAAACAAAACAAAUAACAAAAUAAAA
rnacentral:lncRNA from 1 species